GACGAACGCUGGCGGCGUGCUUAACACAUGCAAGUCGAACGGAAAGGCCCUGCUUUUGUGGGGUGCUCGAGUGGCGAACGGGUGAGUAACACGUGAGUAACCUGCCCUUGACUUUGGGAUAACUUCAGGAAACUGGGGCUAAUACCGGAUAGGAGCUCCUGCUGCAUGGUGGGGGUUGGAAAGUUUCGGCGGUUGGGGAUGGACUCGCGGCUUAUCAGCUUGUUGGUGGGGCAGUGGCUUACUAAGGCUUUGACGGGUAGCCGGCCUGAGAGGGUGACCGGCCACAUUGGGACUGAGAUACGGCCCAGACUCCUACGGGAGGCAGCAGUGGGGAAUAUUGCACAAUGGGCGGAAGCCUGAUGCAGCAACGCCGCGUGCGGGAUGACGGCCUUCGGGUUGUAAACCGCUUUCGCCUGUGACGAAGCGUGAGUGACGGUAAUGGGUAAAGAAGCACCGGCUAACUACGUG
rnacentral:rRNA from 1 species